CUAAUGUUGAUGAGUUAUUUGAUGAAUUAGUAGGUGUUGAAAUUAUUUCAAAGCUGGAUUUAAGGUCAGGAUAUCAUCAGAUAGAAAUGCAUCUUGAUGACAUCCCUAAACUGCCUUUCGUAUACAUGAGGGUUAUUAUGAGUUUUUUAGUGAUGCCUUUCGGGCUUACUAAUGCUCCUUCAACCUUUCAAGGGAUGAUGAAUGAAAAGUUUAGGCCUUAUUUGAGAAAGUUUGUGCUGGCAUUCUUUGACGAUAUUUUGAUAUACAACAAAUGAAUGCAAGAUCAUGUGGAGCAUUUCACAUGGGUUUUGGAGGUUCUAGAAGUUGAAUUUUUUUUUUGUUAAGUUGUCUAUGUGCGUUUUUAGCAGCAAGGAAGUCGAGUAGUUGGGGCACCUCAUUUCCAAGGAAGGAGUCAAAGCCGAUCCCCAAAAACUGGUUGCCAUGCAAAAAUGGCCAACUCCUAAAAAUCAUAAGGCAUUAAGAGGUUUUUUUAGGACUUACGGGGUACUACAAGAAGUUUAUAAAAGGAUAUGGAGCAAUAUCAGCACCACUUACCUAUCUUCCAAGAAAAAAUACUUUUUCUUGGAAUGAUA
rnacentral:lncRNA from 1 species